GUGGGGAAUAUUGGACAAUGGGCGAAAGCCUGAUCCAGCCAUGCCGCGUGUGUGAAGAAGGUCUUCGGAUUGUAAAGCACUUUAAGUUGGGAGGAAGGGCAGUAAGUUAAUACCUUGCUGUUUUGACGUUACCAACAGAAUAAGCACCGGCUAACUUCGUGCCAGCAGCCGCGGUAAUACGAAGGGUGCAAGCGUUAAUCGGAAUUACUGGGCGUAAAGCGCGCGUCGGUGGUUUUGUAAGUUGGAGGUGAAAUCCACGGGCUCAACCUGGGAAAGGCGUCCAAAACUGCAUGAAUAAAGUACGGUAGAGAGUAGUGGAAUUUCCUGUGUAGCGGUGAAAUGCGUAGAUAUAGGAAGGAACACCAGUGGGGAAGGCGACUACCUGGACUGAUACUGACACUGAGGUGCGAAAGCGUGGGGAGCAAACAGGAUUAGAAACCCGAGUAGUCC
rnacentral:rRNA from 1 species